ensembl:lncRNA
GUCUUCUCUUCUAGUUCUUUAUAAAAUAUGUAAUAAAUCAUUUAUAAUUCUCUCAAUUUUUAAAUUUUAAUUUAAAAUUAUGAUUGUGCAUUAUUUAUGCAUCUUUAUAUCCACCUAUUAGUAAAGACAAAGCUAUUAUAAAUCAGCCAAAAUAAAUAGACAGGCACAUAAAUAUUUUCCCACAUCUGUGGUCCUUUGAAAAAUGUAUUCAUAGAAUUUUAUUCAUGGUCAAAAGGAAUGGACAUUUUUAGCUAGGUAUGGUGGCACACCCCUGUAAUCCCAGUACUUUGGGUGGUAGGGGGAGGAUUGUAAUUUUGAGCCCAGUUUGGGCAAAGAAAAGUGUGUGUGUGUGUGUGUGUGUGUGUCUGUCUGUCUAUCUGAGGAUGUAGCUCUGUCUGAAGCCCCUGGGUUCAAUCGCCAGAACUGAACAAAAAGGACAUUUUUAAGACUCUAGAUCUAGUCCAUGGUUGUUUCAGAAUGGGCUCAGCCUGGACAUGGUCACACUUGUAUCUGAUCAGGUCCCCCACACAGUCACCCUGCCACAUUGGUUUUCCCUUUCAUGUUACAGCAGUAUUAUUCUCAUGGAUUUACUCCCAACAGUGUAAUGGUAAAGCAGGUUGGACAUAUUCCUGGAUGCAGGCCAAUGUACAUACAAACUGAGUUUUCUUGAUUAUGAAUCAAUCUGAUUAAAAGAAAAAAGAAAAAUAAUGAUCAGCAGAUUGUGCCCUUAGAAUUAAAAUAAGUGAAGAAAAGGAUGCUAUUGAUGUUUAUUUUUGUAUUAAUGUUUGCAAUACAUAAUAAAUACAUUCACUGUGCAUUGGUAUAUAUACUUGUCACAUCUUGAUCCUUCUUUAUUUCCUCUGCCAGUCCCCUCCUUCCUGUUUUCCCCAUCCUAAGAUCCCCUUCCUAUCUCCACGUAGACUAUCUCCCUGUUUCCUGUCAUUUAUCCUCUAUUUUACUUUUAAAUUAUUUAUACUUUGGGUUCUUCAUAUGAAAGAAACCAUAUGAUACUUAACCUCUGUGUCUGAUAUGUUUCACUUAGCAUUAUGAGCUCUUGGUGGGUCAAUUUUCCUACAAAUUUGCCAUGAUAGCCCUCUAAGCAACAUUUGAUUUUUAUGUGCAUAUUCUGUAGGGAAGUUAUUUAGCAUGAAAAAUAUGGAUGUGGCAAAAGGUAACUUUCAGGGGCUUCUCAGGAGUUCCUGCAAAUAUUGAAAGUUGAACCCUUGUGUGUGCUGCACUUACGUCUGCCAGUGUCCUGAAGAAUCCCAGUCCUUUCCUGGUGAGGAUCUGAGAACCACCGCGAGUGAGGUCCUCCCUUCUAGUCAGGCUCCGUGGCUUCCCCUCCAGUCUUCUCUCUUCUAUGGGGUACUGAACCCUCCUACCAUGUCCCAGAGGCUUAGUCUCACACCAAAUGGAAAUCUGAAAAAAUGCUACAGUUUCCCUUCAUAAAAGUAUGUUAGGGUCUGAUGAAGCAAAUCCAGACAUCUCAGUCCAGAAACUCAUCCUUCACUUCUUCAGUUUUGGGAUGCCCCUGUCCUCUCUGACAGUCUUGCCACAGUGCUUACCCCAAUAAGAUCACUAACAACAUGCACUGCCUAGGCUUCCUGGAGGGUGGAAAGGACUCUUGCCAGGGCGACUCUGGUUACCAGGAGACCACACCUGGGGCUCUGGCUGUGCUCUCAAAGGCAAACCUGGUGUCUGCACCAAGGUGUGCAACUACCUGAGCUGGAUUCAGCAGACCAUUGCUUCCAAGUAAACACUUUCAUCUCUUCAUCAUCCACCAUGGUAGUCAACUUCACCUUCCUUCUUUGCCUGAAAUCAUUUUCUAAAUAAAAAUAACAUUUUAUAUCCCACCUCUGUCUAAAAAUCAUCCUUGCUAGGAAUUGGCCACCUUUCUCUUGAUGGUUGCUUCUGUGCAACUGCAUAUAUGAUCUAGUUCUCCAAGAUCUUGUUUUCCAAUAGGAAUGUUAUUGCUAAAUAAACAGGCCCUAUAGAGACCAUUUGUGCCCCUCCCUCAAUACCAAUUCUCCAAAUUCCCAGGCCAGAUUAUGUAAUUAGUUGAUAAUAUUCAGAAAACAAAGAAUACAAAUGCAGGUAUGUUUGAAGAACAUAGAUCUGUACUCUUUAGUUUAUACAGGUCAUGGCUCCAGAGGUAUUACUGUCCCCUUUAGCCUGGAGAGAACACCAUACACACUCUACCUCAGUUCCUCAGGCCCUCACUCCCACAUCUCCAUUGGCCCAUGGAUCACCCAGGGGAACAUUUGGAGUAGAAGUCUCUACAGUUGAUUCCUGUGAAUGUCUGGUGUGGGACGAGGGAAAAGCUGUAAUGGGGUCUGAGCACAGGCCCACUAGAAUAACUGGAACAUGUUUCAAAGGGGAAAAUAAGGUAAAGAAAAUAUGCUGUCUUAGUACAGGCUCUUGUAACAACAAUGACCACAGAAAUAGACUGGGUGGCUUAAGAAAAAAAUACAUAUAUUUCUCAAAAUUCUGUAAGCUGGUAAGUCCAAGAUGAAGGCAUCAGCAGGUCAGACAUCUAGAGAGGGCUAGUGUUAUGGUAUAGAUCUAAAAUAGUCCACCAAAAUCUCAUGUUUUCAGCAAAGGAACUCUAAGAAGUUGAUUGGAUCAUAAGAACUCUAACUUUAAAAAUGGAUUAAUCCACUGAUGAGAUCAUGAUGUAAAUUUAGGAGGUGGGGCCUACCUGAAGGGAGUGGGUAAUAGGGCAUAGCCUUGGGGGCUGUAUCUUAUUCCUGGCUCCUUUCCCUUAGUCUUUUCCUUCUUUCUUUGCUUUCUAGUUGCCACAAGGUGAGAUUUCCUCACUCCAGCCUUCUGCCAUGAUGUUUCUGCCUCAUCACAGACCUAGAAGUAAAGGGUCCAAGUGACUAUGGGCUAAAAUCUCUGAAAUCAUCAGUCAAAAUAACUUCAUCCUCUUCCUCCUCCAUAUUUAAUAACCAGUUUUAAAUCUUUGUCAUUAAGCAGUAAUUUCAUAAAGUUAAAUAUUUGUGGAUUAGAAGACAGUCAUAUUUAUUGAAUAAAUAUACUAACAUUAUCCUAUCUCCAAUUUUCCAAAUCAUAUAAAAUUUUAAAAAAACAUUGAGG